rnacentral:tRNA from 1 species
UCCGAAUUGGUGUAGUGGCUAACAUUUGACGCUCUCAUUAUCUAAACAAUCUAAUGAUCCGUCAAGCCCGGGGUUCGAUUCCCCGAUUCGGAG